rnacentral:lncRNA from 1 species
UGCUUUCUGCUUUCCACUGUGGUCAUCCUUUUGUUGGAACAUACUCUUUUGGUCCAGGGCCUCUCUCUCAUCUAGUGUUUGUCCCAGAUUCUCUUUCAGCAAAAUAAAUGACCCAUCACUGAAGAUAAAGAAUAAAAGGUCCACUUCUCAAAGGAUAGGAAAGCACUGAUGCAAUACUUUUUCCUAAAAAUGGUAGUUCAUAAGCACCAUGUAAGCAAAAUACUGCAAUGAUCAGCAAAAGUUUAAUAUUGAAAUACAGUUUUUAUUCUUUAAUCAGCAAGGACAUAGGUACUUUCCCUUCACCUUUACUGAAACUUAAAAGUGGAAAGUGCAUCAAGGCAAUUGACUACUAAAGUGAUCAUCCUAUCUUGGGAUCUAAAGGUUCUUUUUUAAAUCCAUUUCAUUAAUCGUUUAUAUAUAAUUAACCAAAAAAAACAACAUGGCAGUAUGAACAUUACUGGAUGCUGGACUGUGGACUCUAGUUCCUGCAACAGAGUCAAAAGCAAAAGGGAAGAAGAGCACCCCCAGGGUAUGGUCGGGUUUUAAGUGCAAAGAACGAUUAAAAAACACAUGUCAGUGAAGGAAGACGAAUAUGAAGAUGAAGAAAUAAAAAUAACCACAGACAAGCCAUUAUAUGGACAAAUGAACUGAGAAAAAAAUUGCAAGUGAAACAUAAAUAAAGAAUAAAGCAUGUCAAUCCAAGUUCAAAAUCCGUUGCAAAGAUGCAAAUUUAAGUUUCUAAUUCAAUUUUAUUGACUAAUUGUCCUUGACUAAUUUUGUUCACUAAGUUUCUAACAACCUGUUUUUAAUCAUUAACAUUUUUUCCAUAACGUUUUCUUAACAAGUGAUAAAUAACUUUGCUUUAUAAUUAUUUGUUCUUUGACUCUGUCAAUGUGAGCUUGUUGAAAUUAUUGGUCCUAAGCCCAGAUAAAGAGAGGAGGGUUGCCGAAGCCCGAAGGUCAAUCGGAAACAGCUUCUAUACCACAUAAAGUUAGGGGUAAGAUUGCAUACAUCUUACCCACCCCAAACCCCACUUGUGGGAUUACAUUGGAUUUAUGUUGUUUUAUAAUUAUUGUAUAUUAUCGCCCUCUUCAAAACAAAACUUACAGGCAUUAUAAAUUACUACUUACACUUAUUAAGAAGCAAUUAGUUGGCUGUCUUUCUAGGCACAGACUUACACUUAAGCACUGCCUAAACAACGCAAAGUACUCUUUUAACAAAUUGCUACAUAAUCCAACAAGUUCUGCCGCAGCUACAUAAAUUGAUAAUCUUCUAUCUUUUAGCAAUCCAUGUGAUCCAGUUCAUUGGAUUUCCAGUCACAGUAAACCAUGAGGCAUAAAAUGAGUAGGUAUUCCAUGGCCCCAACAGUAUCAGUAAUCAAACCACAAUGUCCUUUUAUCACUUUUAAGCUGAUACGGGGGACUCAAAGUAUGCAACUGCCUGAACAAGACGCAGAAGGAAAGCAUAUUGCACUUUUACCUUUUCUGAUGUGAAGUAAUUGUCCUGCAUAUCAAGGAAUAAAAUGGAAGUGUAGGUAAGAACUUUGUGGCUAAGAAAUUUCAUCCAAGAUGGCUUGGAUGUCCACUUUUAGGUCCUUUUUGAUCAUUGAGUACUUUUAAUAUCCUAUUCUGCACUGCUAUUCGUUGGACAGAAGAACUUUUAUCCACCUCACAACUCACUAGCAAAGGAAAAGAAUACGCAUCAAUGUGUCACGGCCAAUAUUAUUCGUGCCAGAAUAAAGGACAAACAAGUCAAAUUGUUUGAGAUAUUCCUGAUCCACACAACAGAAUAUUCAAGGUGCUCUACUAUCUUAUCCCUUUUAAAUCAUGUCCAAUUACUUUUCAGGACUUCAACAAAGAUGUCUCAUUUUAAAAAGUAUCAGUUGACUGUUAAAGGACCUGGAGGCUAAUCUAAAACUUUCUACUUUUGUGGAGGUAGAGUCCUGAGAAAAAGUGAAAAGUGUAGGUUCCACGUAAGUCACCUGAGCACAGCUAAGCCUUUCAAGUUUUAGGUCCCUCAGAUUCCAAGGGAACUUUAGCUAUCUAUUUCUGCUCUGCCAUUUGCUGAGCCUUAGCACUUUUUCCACAGUUUAUAAAUGCCAAGAAAUCCACCAUGGAGCAAUUCUUGUGAUACCUAUAUGCUUAUAAAAUUACUAAUUUUUGGGCAUGCAUUUAUCGCGCAUCAAUGUGAAGUAAUCUUCUUAAAACAACAUACUAUUAAUAUAUAAAUAGAUGUGUUCCAUUAUAAAAUUAAAAUUUUAAAAAGUUUCAAGUUCAUGAAUAUAAUGAACGUUAAUUAUCUUUUGCAAUUUAAUUAAACCCACUUCAGUGAUUCUUCGACCAGUUCGCUCCAAACUUGCUUUAGAUCUUCAUAACAUCAUAAUAAGAUUGAAGGGUUGCAACUCGUUGUCACUAAAAUUAAAAGCAACUUCCACUACUUUUUUCUUCCACUACUCUUCUUCGAAGAAAUUCCAUGAUUUACUUCGCUAUUUCUUAAUGUAGUCUACUUUGCAGAAGUUCCUGGUUUUAGUAAAAUGCACUCAGUUACAGAAUCAAGCUUAAAGUUGAUAUUUAAAAAAAUUCAUAAAGAAGUCCAUUGAAUAAUAACUCUGAUUAAAACCUUUCUAAUCCUUGGGUUACAAAGCAAAGGAAAAUGAAGCAUUAAGAAGAACGCAUCUUUAAGGUUCAAGGUCUGUCAUUACUUCUGUUAAAUGAAAUUCCAGACUUGGUAUAAAUUAAUUUCAUUUCAUAGUAAAUUGAGAAGCAAAAUUACAAUUUUGCUUUUUAAAAGAUAUUUAAGUUAUUUCAAUUCCCUAAAAUGACUUUUCCCCUGCAAAUUUAUUUGCAUUAGAACUUUUAACUAACUUAAGGGAAUAUUUAAUGAAAACUGACAAAAAUAUUUUAUAAUUGUGUUCCUAUAUUUUAUAGGGACAUCCAAUUUUUGAGUUGGAGAAAAUAUUGAACCUGAAUCUUUAAACUCUUAAGAUGCGAAUACAGGAAACGUGAAUUAGAGGUAAGAGACUUGAGUAAAGCAGUUAAGACAAAAGGAGACCAAUUUCUAUACUAAAUUGAUCUUAUAAAAACUCUUUUCCCAGAAAAUUCCUAUUUCUUGUCAUUGCUAGACUUUAUUUAGGGCAAAAGAUUUAUUGAUGGUUCAUUCCAUUCCGAAGUUAGUAAUGUUCAUGAAGUUGGCGAACUUUCCUCUAAAUAGCUUGUUUGGAUGGUUGUUACCUAUUGCAUUGUAGUGUAUUAUGUUGCUAGUUUAAAUAUACUGUUGUUUUAGUGGUUUCUUAAAUUUUAGAGUUAAUGGUUAAAAAAACACCUGAACUAUCACUUUUUUCGCGAGUUUCACACCCAAAUUAUGAGUUGUUCCCUUUUCCUAUAUCACCAUAAAUGUAUUAAAAUACACCACGGCGCUGAUUAAACUAGCUAUUAGUUGUUCCCGGUGUGCACUUUCUGUUAUCACCCUCUUUCAUUGCCAUUUUUGAAGCCAAUAGAAAAAAUCUUUCCCACCUAAACUAUCACUAUCUACGCAAGUAGAUGUUUUAUUUAUGAAACAAUGUUAUAUGCAUCAAAGAAUGCAUUCGGAGGCUAAUCCAGAUCAAUAUUUUAAAACAUACAGUAAAGACAAUGUAGAGCUUCCUAACUUUUGUGGAUGAAGAGUCAUACCAUAAAGUGAAAAGAGUAGAUUCUAUCUCAACAAGAACAUUGAGUUGUGGACCUGUGGAUUCUCUUCCCACUUUGUAGUUGCCUACUGUUAUUUUUCCUUCUACUCCACUUUCACAUUUCACAGCACCCCAUAAGUUUACAGCAUACCUGCUCAAGUUCAGUAUUCAAAGUACAAUAGAAAAUAGAGAGCAAGAAGGGAAAAAAAAAAUCAGUUCAAUGUUGAAAAAGGAGAACAGUGGGGGUUUUGAUGGCAGUAGCAACAACUGGUCAAGGGUGUGUGACAGUUGCCGUUCCACCGCAUGUACCGUUUACUGCAGGGAAGAUUCCACCUUCUUGUGUGCCGGCUGUGACGCCCGCAUGCAUGCAGCAAAUCUGUUGGCUUCUCGUCACGAGCGUGUGUGGGUUUGCGAGGCCUGCGGACGUGCCCCUGCAGCCUUUCUUUGCAAGGCAGAUGCUGCCUCACUCUGUGCCUCCUGCGACACUGACAUCCACUCUGCCAACCCCUUGGCGCGCCGUCACCACCGUGUCCCAAUUAUGCCCAUUUUAGGUAGCCACACAAAAAUUAUACU